CUGAGGAACAUCAGCCUGCAAAGCAAUCAUGACAUUGGAACAAAGCAGGGAGCAGCUGGAACGUGUAACUUUGUGCAAUGCAUUAUGUGAUCCAAUAAAUAUUAGGAAUUCAGAGAAAACCGAGACUUAUACAAACUGAUGCAGAGAUGAAAAGAACCUGAAAAACUAUCAGCACAAUGCUAACAAUAACGCAAGGGAAAAAUACCCUGAAAGACUUCCGAGUUUGAUCAAUGCGGGGACCAGUCACAACUUCAGAAGAACGAUGAUGAAGCAUUUCUGCCUUUCAACAGAAAGGUAGAGUAGAGCUACAGAAUAAAACAUACAUUUUCAGACAUG